ACGAGGAAGUAAGAACGGUGCAAGCUGAGCAGAGGUUUUGGUUCAGAAAACCACAUUAAAACUUUUAGAACUUCUCUUACGUCCUGUUAAUUAUGUUAUAGCUUAUAAUUAUUUAUCUUUUUAUCACUCCGCCUAUUCAGUUCAUUUAUUUUUAAUAUUAUUCGUUUUGCACUUUCCAUUGUUGAGUGAGAUCGGGAACAGAGUGUGAGGCGGGAGAAUUGAAAGUUCCAGAAACAAUUCAUUACCGUUUUGACUUGAAUGAUGUCUGAGUUACAAAAAGAGAUUAAGUAAACCUUACUGUGAGUAAUACCAGGCCUUCGUGACGAGCCACUCAAUCAGUCAGUUGAGAAAUGUGUAGGCUGAGGAGUAGAAGAUUUAAUGUACGUGAAAGAAGAGGACUUCUUAAGAGUUCAUACAACCUGUCCAGUGCCAAACUGUUCACAUGAACAAAGAAGCAGCAUUUUGGUUCAGUAAUUAGUUUGACCUAUAGGUCUCCUCAAAAUUCACCACAAAUGAGCUCCUCAGUAAGAUGGACUCACGCUUCAAGCACAUACGAUUUAUUGACAUCAACCCUGAACAAAUGUCCAAGGCCAAUCAAGGAAAAGCUACAUCCAAGAAGACUAGCCAAGUAGUCCAUAACAAGAAGAACGCAGUAAACCCUCAUUUUUCCUAUCCACUUUGUAAGGUAAUGGACUUUGAACGGAAUUCAUCCAAGACCACUUUGUUCACUUUUACUUUUGACAGUUUAGGCAAUUUUUGUCUAACAUGGUGUUCUUAUUCUAUUUUAAUGUGAAAGUCAACAUUGGUAUUAUACUUUUAAAUUUAGUAUUGAAUGCUGCACUAUGUUUAUUGCCAGUGUUUCCCACCUCUGUUGCAACCAUUUGUGUUUAUCUGAAAUAAUGAAAGACUGCUAACAAUUAAAAAAACUGGUAAUGUAAAAAGCUAAUCAAGACCAUAAAAAUAAAUGUUUAUUGGAAUGUUUCAAAUGAAAGAAGCAUUAUUUGUUUAAAUUAAUCUGUAAGUAAAUAUUGCAGAAUAAUGUCCUUAUCAAUGCUGCAGUGACACUAUAAAAUGGUAUUCACAGCAAGCCCAAUGUAAAAAUACAAUACAUAACUAUAGAAAAUACAGUUCUAACAUUUUCUCAUGUAUCAUACUGUAUUAUGAAAUGACAGUGUAAUACUGUAAAUGUUAAC